UACGUAGGGUGCAAGCGUUAAUCGGAAUUACUGGGCGUAAAGCGUGCGCAGGCGGUUUUGUAAGUCUGAUGUGAAAUCCCCAGGCUCAACCUGGGAAUUGCAUUGGAGACUGCAAGGCUAGAAUCUGGCAGAGGGGGGUAGAAUUCCACGUGUAGCAGUGAAAUGCGUAGAGAUGUGGAGGAACACCGAUGGCGAAGGCAGCCCCCUGGGUCAAGAUUGACGCUCAUGCACGAAAGCGUGGGGAGCAAACAGG
rnacentral:rRNA from 1 species